rnacentral:lncRNA from 1 species
GCGGGCAUUAUGUUUGUUGGUAGUGGGACUUGCACCUUUUGGAGUUGUUUUGCCAUUGAUUUGGGAGGGGUUGGUGGAUAUCUCCUACUGAUGUUGAGGUCUAUUGCAGGUUACAAGUAUUUGUGAAAAAAUCCAUUUAAUUGGCACUAGUGAACUUUUUAUCGGAGAGCAACGUUACUUGACUAUCUGUCCUGUAGUCAUAGACUCAAACAUCAGUAGGUAGCUAUCAUGGAGGUCGUUGGCCUUUUGUUGAACUUGAGUCUGUGGUGUCUCAGUUGGAUAAAUGAAAGAAAAUUUAGAUUUUAAAUUUGAAUUUGAGAAGAUUAGAUUCAUUGUCCCAUUUUUAAGGAUUAGGGAUAGGAUAGUAGCUAGUUUUGCCCAUGGGUCUGGCCUCA